rnacentral:rRNA from 1 species
UUGACCUCGGAUCAGGUAGAGAUACCUGCUG